rnacentral:ncRNA from 1 species
GCAGAGUAGGGCAUCGUGCGUUAAGUGCCGUCUGAACAGGGAGUUGUCAGGCGGACGAAAAGCCGGUUUCGGCUUGCGGUGCGGAGCCCGCAUCCCGCUGC